UCGAAUAGAGGGGUAAAGCCUCGUUCGCUCGGCACAUGAAACCCCCAAGCGUUACGGCCGGCAGCCCCGACAGCCACUAUAGGAUGGCGGCGCAAUCGCAAUCACAGUCGGAGUCGGAGGGGCCUCCUCGCUUAGGUUUCCUCAUGGAGGGGCCUGACCCAACCACUACCACUACCCCAUCCGCCGCCGGAACACCGAUGCCCCCAAGCGGACCCUCGCGGAGGGAGAGAACUACCGUUCCUCCUCGAUCAUCCCCCCGCCGCCCUCCUCGGACACUGGCGCCGGGGAAGACCCUGUCGCACGGGUCGGUUUCGCUACUGGGGAGGCGGAGGGACAUGGAGGACACGGUGACGGAGGUGACGGGCUUCUCGGCAGGUGGGUACGGGUAGUUCGCGGUGUGCGACGGGCACGGGGGAGCGAUGGUGGCGCGGGCGUGCCGGGACCGGCUGCAGGUGGCUGUGACGGAGGGCCGCCCGGGUGGGUGAGGGGGCGGAGACGUGGAGGUGGGCGUGAAGGUGGACGCCGAGGUGAUGUUGGAGGCCACGGAUCUGUAUCAGGGGUUGGUGGUGGGAGACAAGUGGAUCAUGGUGGCCACAUGCGGCGACUCCCGGACGGUGCUCUCACGCGGCGGGGUGGCCGUGCCCCCUUUCUAUCCAUCAAGGCGGACGCAAAAUGCAUCAUUAGCUGAUCCGGUGGUGUCCCCUCCCGAUAUUCUGGUGGCUCCGAAACAGAAGCUUCAUGAAGAUUCAGCGACAUCUCUCUCUUCCAUUCAAGGGGGAUGCUGAGAAACUCGCUUCCAUUCUCCACCACAAGAUCCAAUUACUACAAAAGCAAACAUUGAACGAUUACAUAAUUUCCACAAAAGUCCCCAUUGAGCUUUACUUUCGUUUUUUGCAAAUAAACAAAAAGAAAGGCAAACUUGAUUUACUGUCUUUUUUGUUUUUUUGUUUUUUUUUAAUGAGCAAAAGUUUUGUGGACGGAACAAAAGAGAAGCACUCAAAAGUGGGAAUUUAAAUGACUGCAUGUUCAGACCGCCAUGAGCACUUCCUUUGUGGUUUCUGUAAUCUUAGCUUAGCUACUUUUAUUAGGAACUUGUACUACAUAAGAGAACUCUUUUCUUUGUUUUUCUUGAUGUAAAUAAGAGAAGACUCAAUUUUUUU